rnacentral:ncRNA from 1 species
CGGGACAAAUGCCACACCCGUCGCGAGGCGGGGCCGGAAAGCCACGGAUCUUGUUGCCCUCGCCUGAGGCCACCAAGACGGCCGGGUUGCCAAA